CCUGUCGGUUUAAUUGGACUCAACGCCGGGCAGCUCACCGGAUAAGACAGCUGGAUGAUAGCCGGGCUGAAGACCCCUGCUUGACUAGCUGAGAGGAGGUGCAUGGCCGUCGUCAGUUCGUACUGUGAAGCAUCCCGUUAAGUCAGGCAACGAGCGAGACCCACGCCAACAGUUGCCAGCAUGUCCUCCGGGAUGAUGGGGACACUGUUGGGACCGCCUCUGCUAAAGAGGAGGAAGGAAUGGGCAACGGUAGGUCAGCAUGCCCCGAAUUAUCCGGGCUACACGCGGGCUACAAUGGUCAGGACAAUGGGUAUCGACACCGAGAGGUGGAGGCAAUCUCCUAAACCUGUCCUUAGUUCGGAUUGUGGGCUGCAACUCGCCCACAUGAAGCUGGAAUCCGUAGUAAUCGCGUUUCAAAAUAGCGCGGUGAAUAUGUCCCUGCUCCUU
rnacentral:rRNA from 1 species